CAACCUCUGAACCCUAAUUUCAGACCCUUCAAAAUGAAUAUUAAGCUCAUUUUGGUCUAAGAAACAAAAAACAAAUGAACAUGAAACUCAUUUUGGUCUUAUAAGGUCUGAGAAACCCCUUCUAAACUUCAAGCUGCUUUAAGAAAUAACAUUUUAUUACCUGCAAAUACACACAGUACUUUGGAGAUUUAUAAUAGUCUCUUAUUCUAAUAGAAGCCAUUAGGGAACCAGUUUCAAUAAACAGGUAAAUCUGUAAGACUAGUUUGCAAUUAGGAUAUCUGUUUUCAGUGUCCAUUCCUGCCUCUGUUAUCUAAAUGUCUGGGAACAAGAGCUGUGCUCUGCUGUGUUUAAAAUGAUUAAAAAUCACCAAUUAGUUGAGUUCAUGUAGACAGGCAUUUGACUUAUUGAGUUGUUUUAAGAAGACUAUAACAAGCCUUAAGCCCCCCAGAAACAGCCUGUCUUUGGGCUUUCCCACAUGCCUCCUCGUCCUCUCCACCUGUAGAUGUACCGUGCUCUCUGGCAGAGAAGGGAGGGUGUGGUUGGGCUGGACCCCCAGAGGCCAUCCCUCCUUCUGUCUUCUGCUCCUGCAGCCCUACCACUCUCAAACCUUUACGAGACCCUGGGAGUCGUUGGAUCCACCACCACUCAGCUGUACACGGACCGCACGGAGAAGCUGAGGCCUGAGAUGGAGGGGCCCGGCAGCUUCACCAUCUUCGCCCCUAGCAACGAGGCCUGGGCCUCCUUGCCAGCUGUGAGAUGACCUCCAUAUGCCCGGGGGACUCUUAUGGGGAACUGCCUUACUUCCCUGAGGGGUGGGCAUGAUGAAUGGGAGUCUGCAGUAAUUUCCUACUGUUUCAGGAAGCUUUUUCCUUAACCCCUUAGAAAAGGCUGUGGAACUUGAGCUAAAAUAUGUCUUACCAGGUUGCGUCUAAUGCCCCCUGUGCCCUACUGGGCAGAAAGACUUGGGUGCUUCCUGAGGAGGGAUCCUUGGCAGAAGAGAGGCCUGGGCUCACGAGGGCUGAGAACAUGUUUCCCAGAGUUGCAAGGACCCAUCUCUUAAACACAGAGUCUGCAGCCCCUAACUGACACCCUGUCCUUCCUCCUAGGAAGUGCUGGACUCCCUGGUCAGCAAUGUCAACAUUGAGCUGCUCAAUGCCCUCCGCUACCAUAUGGUGGGCAGGCGAGUCCUGACUGAUGAGCUGAAACACGGCAUGACCCUCACCUCUAUGUACCAGAAUUCCAACAUCCAGAUCCACCACUAUCCUAAUGGGGUAGGGGAUCCCCAGCCAUACUGCAUGGCCCUUGGUGCAUAAGGAACCCACUUCUGUUCCAUGUGUGGGCUGGUUUCUGGGGUUUAAGCUGUAGACAACCCACCCUCUUUGUGCCUGCUUCUCCUUGGGCCCUCUAUUCCACAGCUCGUGGAACCCACAUUCUGCUACUGUGUUUGAAAACACUGUUUUCUCCUCCCGGGGCUUUGGGACUAUGCCUCUGUUGUGUUGACUGCUCAUCCUUGCUGCUUCUCUGGGCAGAUUGUAACUGUGAACUGUGCCCGGCUGCUGAAAGCCGACCACCAUGCAACCAACGGGGUGGUGCACCUCAUCGAUAAGGUCAUCUCCACCAUCACCAACAACAUCCAGCAGAUCAUUGAGAUCGAGGACACCUUUGAGACCCUUCGGGUAAGGGACUGCCCUGGGUGGAGGCCCAGGCUUGGGACACAUUGCCUCCCAAGAGGGGCCUAGCAGCAACUCUUCUGCAGGAGAGGUAGAGGAUGGCUCCUGUAGGGGAACAUAGAGCAGGUUCCCCUGAAUGCCCUUGAACAUGGAGAAUCCAUUGACCAGACAUUCAGCUUGACCUAACCUGUGAAAUUCUCCAUCUUCUUUAUAAAGUGUUCCCUUCCUUGCCUCCCCUGGAAAGGUCAGUGGUGUCUGGCCGCAGCAGCACAGGGUCCUCUGAGCCCUGGACCUGCACCGUGGCUUCCAGAGGUGGCAGUUCCCACAUGGGGUACUAGAAUAAAUGGCCUAUCAGGCUGUGUGUGCUUUGGGAUCACAUGUCCCCACCCUGGGACCCUGGUUCCAACCAUACGCAUGUUCUCUUGGAGCCCAGAACAGCAGAGAAGCCACCAGUGUGGACACAGAAGUCAAGGGUCUGAUUUCCAGCCUGGCUUCUGACUGCUCUGGGGCUGCAGGAAUACAGUUCCUUCCCCCAUGCCCAGCAGGCAUUUGUCUUACAACUGGAGGGGAAGGCACGUUCCUCUUGGCAAGGGCUGCUCAGGAGGAAGUGGAGGCAGGCUGCCCUGUCAGGGUUUUUGCCUUGAUUCAAGGAGAACUUCCUAACCACAAAGGAUACAAGUGGGAGUGAGGCGGACCCUCCCUAGAGAUCUCCAACACAGAGAGACAAACACGCUGGGGCCGGCUGGCACUGACAGGCCUCCCAAGUGCGGAUGGCUGUUAGCUGGGAGCCUCGCUGUCUAAGCUCCUCUCCCAUGCUUUUCUUCUGGGUUGCUCGAAGGACAGGGGUCUGCAAGAAAAUGAUGUUCCCACAUAGUUGGCAGCGCAUGAACAGCAAUUGAUCCCUUUGCAUCACCUCCUCUUACUAUUUAGAUUUGGUAAAUAUUUCUUCCUUCCCUCUUCUGACCCUCCAUUUUGCCGAUCUUUCCUUCUUAUAACACAUACUUACUAGGUACCUGCUACUUCCCGGGUGGGCCUAUGUGCCAGGAGUAUAGAGGUGAACAAGGAAGGCAAAGUUCUAUUCUCAGUAGAGCUAAUAUUCUAUCUGGAGAGAGACAACAAACAAAUCAACAAGGUAGCCAGGGGCUGUGAUAAUUUAUGUCAAGUGGGCAGGUAAAUAGGGAGUGACAGUAGUGCAGGGAGGAUUGGAAAGUCAGGGAGUUCUCUCUGGAGGAGGUGGCUUUUGAUCUGCAGCCUAAAGGAUGAGAAUGGGUCCAUUAUACAAAAUGCUGGGGCAAGAGCACACCCAGUAGAGGGGAGAGCAAUAGCAAAGGCUCAGGGCAGGAAGGGCAAGGGAGAGGCCAGUGGAUCAAGUGAAGGCUCAGGGCAGGAAGGGCAAGGGAGAGGCCAGUGGGUGAGGUCACAUGUGAAGGGCAUACAAUGGGCAAAGACAAGGCCAGGGUGGCCAGGCCCAAUCCUCCAGGACUUGCAGACCUGGGAAAGAGUCCAUCUCCAUCCUGGGAGCAGCAGGAAACCACUCAGGCCUUUAGAAGAUCCUUCUGGCAGCUGUGUAGAGAAUGGGUGGUGUGAUCCUUCCAUGCAUGGGCUCAUGUACGUGAUUACCAAUAACUGUCGAGUGACAGUGUGAGGAGGGCUGCAAGCCAUGAGUGUAGGCACAGCAGACAGACUCACCUUUGUCUGGCGGUGAGAUGGGGUGGGAAGUGUGCCAAGUUGACCUCCCAAAGAAAUGAUAUUUUAGUGGAAGAAUGAAUAGAAUCAGAGAAGCAAAGAAAGAGGGAAGAGCAGAGAGGACAGCAGGGAUAAGGACUUGGGGGCAGGAAGAGGAAAGGCAGGUUAAGGACAUGAAAGAUGGCCAGGCUGGCUGGAGCUCAGGCCCAGCAAGGCCCCCUGGGGGCCAUGGUCAUGGGUGAGCUUGGGUUUGGCUUCUGUUUUCGUCUUGGGCUUCUGUAAAAGCCUCGAGCCCUUGCGGGGAACCAGUGAAGCUGUGUGUGCAUCUUCUGUGGGGAAUGCCAGAGUCUUCAGGGAGCACUCCAUCUUCUCUCCUCCCCACAGGCUGCUGUGGCUGCAUCAGGGCUCAACACGAUGCUUGAAGGUAACGGCCAGUACACGCUUUUGGCCCCAACCAAUGAGGCCUUCGAGAAGAUCCCUAGUGAGACUUUGAACCGUAUCCUGGGCGACCCAGAAGCCCUGAGAGACCUGCUGAACAACCACAUCUUGAAGUCAGCUAUGUGUGCUGAAGCCAUCGUUGCGGGGCUGUCUGUGGAGACCCUGGAGGGCACGACACUGGAGGUGGGCUGCAGCGGGGACAUGCUCACUAUCAACGGGAAGGCGAUCAUCUCCAAUAAAGACAUCCUAGCCACCAACGGGGUGAUCCACUACAUUGAUGAGCUACUCAUCCCAGACUCAGCCAAGACACUAUUUGAAUUGGCUGCAGAGUCUGAUGUGUCCACAGCCAUUGACCUUUUCAGACAAGCCGGCCUCGGCAAUCAUCUCUCUGGAAGUGAGCGGUUGACCCUCCUGGCUCCCCUGAAUUCUGUAUUCAAAGAUGGAACCCCUCCAAUUGAUGCCCAUACAAGGAAUUUGCUUCGGAACCACAUAAUUAAAGACCAGCUGGCCUCUAAGUAUCUGUACCAUGGACAGACCCUGGAAACUCUGGGCGGCAAAAAACUGAGAGUUUUUGUUUAUCGUAAUGUAAGUUCUGGGUCCUAAAUCAUGCUCCUGGGAAGCUCCUUACUGUGGGACUUGUAUUAGUGUAAAAAAAAAAAUGUCCUCAAUAAGCAGGAGUUUGCAUGAGAACUGGUUGCUGACAAGGAAGGAAAUAAUUUCUGGAAAAUAUAGAUAACAAAAUGAGAUCCUGCAGAAGGAUUGGAAUCUCUUUUUCUGGAGGCCUUUGAGAAUAAACCACACAAUUAUCCAACCUGUAUUGUGAAGGAAUAAGUCCUUCUUGAAUUCAGGAAUUAACACCUGGGAGGAGGGAUGGAGUUCAGACUCUUUCUGAGCUUAUGAGAAGAGAAGCCCCCU
rnacentral:sRNA from 1 species